GAUGAACGCUGGCGGCGUGCCUAACACAUGCAAGUCGAGCGAUCUUCUUCGGAAGAGAGCGGCGGACGGGUGAGUAACGCGUGGGUAACCUGCCCUGUACACACGGAUAACAUACCGAAAGGUAUGCUAAUACGGGAUAACAUAAGAAAUUCGCAUGUUUUUCUUAUCAAAGCUCUGGCGGUACAGGAUGGACCCGCGUCUGAUUAGCUAGUUGGUGAGGUAACGGCUCACCAAGGCAACGAUCAGUAGCCGACCUGAGAGGGUGAUCGGCCACAUUGGAACUGAGACACGGUCCAAACUCCUACGGGAGGCAGCAGUGGGGAAUAUUGCACAAUGGGCGAAAGCCUGAUGCAGCAACGCCGCGUGAGCGAUGAAGGCCUUCGGGUCGUAAAGCUCUGUCCUCAAGGAAGAUAAUGACGGUACUUGAGGAGGAAGCCCCGGCUAACUACGUGCCAGCAGCCGCCGUAAAAC
rnacentral:rRNA from 1 species